GCAGUGUUAUCCUUAUGUUGCGCUUCUUUAUCGAGUCACGUGUCCUAUUCCACUUGUUUACCAUAAUAAUCCUAUAUGUAUCAAUCCUUACCCAUAGCCGUUGCUUGAUGUUUGAGCCUUGCGAGUCGUAGGCGUGUUUAGGCUCUGUUGUUUAUCUCGAUCUGUUAUCGGGAUAUGUUGGGUUGUUGGGAGGUUAUCACAUGCUAUAUCAAUUGUUGGAGAUACUCAUGCUUUACUUUAUUGUUAACAACUAAAAUUGUAAGCAGAGGCAUCUGUGAGCCCCUUUGCGAAAGCAUCGGAACUUUGACUUGCUAAUGUCCCCUAGGACCCGAGUUCUUGUUAUAUGUUCCGAGAUUGAGCGCUCUACCCGUACGUGGGGGAAUGGGACCCCCAUCACCCACUACCUUUCCUCGAGUCUGUUUAUUGGGAGCCACAACCUUGGUUUUAUUUGCCCAUAUGCAUGAUGCACGAUUUACUUCUGUUGCCUUCGGGUGUUUAUAUUCUGUUCUGUACUCAUAUUGCGUGCCGACUUAUCCUUGGCCGGUCGUUAGUGCCCGCCUUGGACGCCAUCGCAACCUCUGGGUCCGUAUCGGAGUACGGACGAACUUCAUCACGGGUAGCUUAGUUGGGUGGCUCCCAUUAAACUUUCUCUUGCAUUGGGAACGGUAUUGAUGUGAGACUCCACCUGUAGCAAGUGGGUUCGAGCAUGCGUAUGGUUACAUUUGGGCAACCCCUGCAGGGUGUACAUCUUAUCGAUAAGCCGUGUCCGCGGUUAUGGACGACUUGGAAUUGUAUGGCUUGAUCAUAGAACAACUUACACCGCUAUCUUGUUGUUAAUAAUUUGCUAAUAACUUGCGUAGUAAUAUAGCAUUACUACAACCGAUACCUAAUAAAACUUGUCCACCGUUGAGUGCCUUUUAUAUUGCCUCUUCGCUUUGUUGAAGGGGAUAUGUGUAAUCGGCUGGGUUAUGUUUGUUUAGUAUUUAUCUGUUACCUUGUGCGCUCUCUUAUCUUCUCUGAUUAGACGGAUGUUGUAGCGUGUCUCUAUUGGUUAUAGUUUUACUGCCGCUAAACCUACCAUAUAGCCCCAGGCGAUAUAUAUAUUCGCCCGGCGAGCAUAGCCAUUUCUAGUCUCGCUAAGUACGUGCCGGAGUUCGUUCCUUGGUACUUACUCUCGCCUUUUCCCUUUCUCUUUUGCUUCCUCCCUUUUGUUGGCAACCGAUGGCCCGACUUUGACAGGUACGAGAUGAUGACGUUAGCAAGGUUACCCUUCCGGCUUGGCCUGGGCAGGGUUAUGGACGCCACUGGUUAUCUUCAGGACUCUUAGUCCAAUUUGUAUCUUGUCCGUACUCGGACAUAUUCGAUCUUCUAUAUGUUUUGGAUCUUUGUAUUGUAUAUUUGUAUCCUGACUCGUUGGAGUCGUUGUUGUAAUAUAUGUUUCUUGUGGGCUCUAUUGUAAUCCUGUUGUAGUGUUA